UACGAAGGCCCCAAGCGUUAUCCGGAAUUACUGGGUGUAAAGCGUCUGUAGGUGGGACUAUAAGUCUCUCAUGAAAGACCGGAGCUCAACUCCGUGUUUGUGAGAGAUACUGUAGACCUAGAAUCGGGGAGAGGGAAGUAGAAUUGUAUGAGUAGGGGUGCAAUCCGUUGAUACAUACAAGAAUACCAAAAGCGAAGGCAACUUCCUGGAACCGUAUUGACACUGAGAGACGAAAGCGUGGGGAGCGAAAAGG
rnacentral:rRNA from 1 species